rnacentral:rRNA from 1 species
UACGAAGGGGGCGAGCGUUGUUCGGAAUUACUGGGCGUAAAGGGCGCGCAGGCGGCUCUGAAAGUCAGAUGUGAAAGCCCCGGGCUUAACCUGGGAAUUGCAUUUGAUACUCUGGAGCUUGAGUGUGGGAGAGGAGAGUGGAAUUCCCAGUGUAGAGGUGAAAUUCGUAGAUAUCGGGAGGAACACCGGUGGCGAAGGCGGCGAUCUGGGUAGAUACUGACGCUGAGGUGCGAAAGCGUGGGGAGCAAACAGG